AGUGAACGCUGGCGGUAGGCCUAACACAUGCAAGUCGAACGGCAGCACAGUAAGAGCUUGCUCUUACGGGUGGCGAGUGGCGGACGGGUGAGGAAUACAUCGGAAUCUACUUUUUCGUGGGGGAUAACGUAGGGAAACUUACGCUAAUACCGCAUACGACCUACGGGUGAAAGCAGGGGAUCUUCGGACCUUGCGCGAUUGAAUGAGCCGAUGUCGGAUUAGCUAGUUGGCGGGGUGAAGGCCCACCAAGGCGACGAUCCGUAGCUGGUCUGAGAGGAUGAUCAGCCACACUGGAACUGAGACACGGUCCAGACUCCUACGGGAGGCAGCAGUGGGGAAUAUUGGACAAUGGGCGCAAGCCUGAUCCAGACAUACCGCGUGGGUGAAGAAGGCCUUCGGGUUGUAAAGCCCUUUUGUUGGGAAAGAAAAGCAGCAGGUUAAUACCCCGCUGUUCUGACGGUACCCAAAGAAUAAGCACCGGCUAACUUCGUG
rnacentral:rRNA from 1 species